rnacentral:rRNA from 1 species
UACGUAGGGGGCUAGCGUUGUCCGGAAUCAUUGGGCGUAAAGAGCGUGUAGGCGGUCCGGUAAGUCCGUUGUGAAAGUCAGGGGCUCAACCCUUGAAUGCCGGCGGAUACUGUCGGGCUAGAGUCCGGAAGAGGCGAGUGGAAUUCCCGGUGUAGCGGUGAAAUGCGCAGAUAUCAGGAGGAACACCGGUGGCGAAGGCGGUCUCUGGCAGUAACUGACGCUGAGGAGCGAAGCGUGGUAGCGAACAGG